rnacentral:lncRNA from 1 species
AAGGACUUGGUGAGUAAGGGAGGAGGGAACAUAAGGUAUAAAUCAUAGAGUUGUCAACUCUAGGUUGUUUGUACUUUCUUGUUCCUCCUCGUCUAAGGUAGUAUUGUUCGCGUGAAGGGAUCAAGCAUGAUGGAAAUAUUCUGCGAGUUGUGUGUCAAAUAAGAGACAUGGAAUGGAGGAGGAGAUCUUUAAAGUCUCAUGGAGGACUUUAAGAGAGGAAAUGAGAAUCGGAGCUAGUAUAAAACAACAUAUCAUUGCCCGGUGUCAGGUAUAUUGGAGUUGAUGCUACAAAGCGGGCACAGAUACAAGAUUCGUGGACUGUUUACACAAUUGCU